UCUGUAUAGGAAGAAAUGAGAGCGAUUUCAGUUGUUUGAUGAGUACGAAUCAAUUUUUCAAUUGCUGAGAGCUCAAUUCUUCUGUAUUUGUUUUUAAAAUGGGGGUUCUAUAUGGGUUGUAGGAAUUCGGAUGCUAAGAAGACAUGAUGAUCUGUGGUGUGUUUGAUGACCAUGGCCCUUGGGGACACUAUGUAGCAAAAAGGGUCAGAGAAUCGCUGCCAUCGUCUCUGCUUUGCAAUUGGCAGAAGACUCUUGCUAUGAGCUCAAUUACAUCAGAAUUCCUUUUGGAAUUUGAUAAAAUGCUUAAUCAAUUUGACAUUUGGAAGGAAUCCUAUUUGAGAACUUAUUGAAAUGAGUGAUUCACUUGGGCAAAUGAAUCAUAACCUUGACGGUUUAAAGAGUGAUCUGAAUGAAGUUACUAAGGGAAGGGAUUGCCUUGAUUAUGAGGUACUUGUCUUGAAAGAGCAGCUAGAAAUGGCACAAGUUGUUGCUGAAGAAAAUGAAGCAAUUGCUAUAGAAGCUCGACAGUUGCUUGUUGAUUCUUUUUAUCAUUACCUUAUUUCUGAUUUUUUUCCCCUACUUGUGUCAUGUUUGAUUCUCAAUGUUUUCCCUUUCAAUCUCAAAUGGCUGAGGCAAUGAAGAACUAUGCCGAAGAGGAGGAGGAGGCGAAGCUGUUAGAGAAGUAUGUGGAAGAGCUAGAAUAUACCGUAAAUGUAUUGGAAAACAAGGGGGAGCUUGUCAAAGGAGAGGCUGAAAGGCAACGGUUGUAGAGAGAGGAGCUAGAAGGGGACCCUACUGAAACAGUUCAUGUGGAAGGCUAUGUGGCAGUUCAUGUGCAUUUGUAUUUUGUUUUGAAAACUUUAAAUAGACCAUUAAUUGUUUUGUUGAUAUUGUGCUGAUUAUUGUCUUGAUGAAUGUUAAAUGGGUGAAAUAUGCACAGGUUCAAUCA